GAGUUUGAUCGUGGCUCAGAUUGAACGCUGGCGGCAUGCCUUACACAUGCAAGUCGAACGGCAGCAUGAUCUAGCUUGCUAGAUUGAUGGCGAGUGGCGAACGGGUGAGUAAUACAUCGGAACGUGCCCUGUAGUGGGGGAUAACUAGUCGAAAGAUUAGCUAAUACCGCAUACGACCUGAGGGUGAAAGUGGGGGACCGCAAGGCCUCAUGCUAUAGGAGCGGCCGAUGUCUGAUUAGCUAGUUGGUGGGGUAAAGGCCCACCAAGGCGACGAUCAGUAGCUGGUCUGAGAGGACGAUCAGCCACACUGGGACUGAGACACGGCCCAGACUCCUACGGGAGGCAGCAGUGGGGAAUUUUGGGCAAUGGGCGAAAGCCUGAUCCAGCAAUGCCGCGUGUGUGAAGAAGGCCUCGG
rnacentral:rRNA from 1 species